CAAGCAGGUCAGCCUGUCGCCCUGGCCACAGCGCCGGGGAGGAAAGUCCGGACACCGCAGUGCAGCAUAGCGGGUAACACCCGUCCACCGUGAGGUGAGGACCAGUGCAACAGAAAGCAAGUACAGUUCGGCUGUAGUGAAAUCAGGUAAACUCUAUGCGGUGAAACGCCAUAUAGGUCGGCAAUCGAAGGUGGCACGCCUGAGCCGAUGGGUAGGCGGAUCGAACCAUGGGGUAACUCAUGGUCCAGAUAAAUGACAGGAACCCCUUUCGCAAGAUCGGGUUAACAGAAUCCGGCUUAUGACCUGCUUUUUAU
rnacentral:RNase_P_RNA from 1 species